rnacentral:tRNA from 1 species
UCCCUUGUGGCUCAGCUGGUAAAGAAUCCACCUGCAAUGUGGGAGACCUGGGUUCGAUCCCUGGCUUGGGAA